rnacentral:rRNA from 1 species
GAUGAACGCUGGCGGCGUGCUUAACACAUGCAAGUCGAACGGAAAGGCCCAAACUUGCUUGGUUUCUCGAGUGGCGAACGGGUGUGUAACACGUGUGUGAUCUGCCCUUCACUUCGGGGUAAGCCUGGGAAACUGGGUCUCAUACCGGAGAUGACCACAUGAUGGAUGGUGUUGUGGAGAGAUUUGCGGUGUUGGCUUAGCUCGCAGAGGAUCAGCCUGUUGAUGGGGUAAUGGCGUACCAAGCCGUCGACGGGUAGCCGGCCUGAGAGGGUGUAGGGCCGCACUGGGACUGUGAGACAGGCCAGAGUCGGACAGGAGGCAGCAGUGGGGAAUAUUGCACAAUGGGAGCAAGCCUGAUGCAGCGACGCCGCGUGGGGGAUGAAGGCCUUCGGGUGGGAAACACCUUUCGCUAGGGAAGAAGCGUUGUUGUGACGGUACCUGGAGAAGAAGCACCGGCUAACUACGUG